rnacentral:rRNA from 1 species
UACAGAGGAGCCAAGCGUUGUCCGGAUUGACUGGGCGUAAAGGGCGCGUAGGCGGCUCGGCACGUCCGUUGUGAAAUCGCCCGGCUCAACUGGGCGGGGUCAGCGGAUACGGCCGAGCUGGAGCAAGCUAGGGGGUAAUGGAAUUCCCGGUGUAGUGGUGGAAUGCGUAGAUAUCGGGAGGAACACCAGUGGCGAAGGCGGUUACCUGGAGCUUUGCUGACGCUGAUGCGCGAAAGCGUGGGGAGCAAACAGG